UACAAGGCCAUCCAGGCAGCCAGCCGCUGGAAUCCCAGGGAUUACACAGCCUCUGGAGGGCUUGGAACAGGCUCGGGUCACCUGCUGCAGACACAAGUGUGUGCCUGGGCUGCUUCUGUCUUGUGACUGAGGAAUUUUGAAAUGGCAGUGCUGAGCUCACAAAGAAGAAAAUGUCUCCUUGAUGUCACACAGUUCGCUGCCAAACCAUCCAAGCUACCUGGAAAUUAUCAAUGACUGCACGUGCCCAGCUCUUCUGGACCCUCUGAUGUUCUGUCACAUGGGAGCAAAUGGAGAGCUGGGACAUCCUUUGACCUCAGCCCUCAAAGGAUAAUUAACUUCUUGCUCAAUCCCUCAGCAUUUGACCAAAAUACCAAGAUAAAAAUGUAGGCCCGUGUUAGUACAAAAGGUCCUGCAUUCAACUGUCCUCCUUAUAUUGCCCAAGAAGUCUUGUGGAAUUCCAAGAAGAAUUCAAGGGGCCAGACCUGGAAUAUGCAUCAAUGAGAAUAAGACACUGACGAAGCUAACGACACUAACGGGGAAUGAGGAUAAUCGACUCCUGUCCUUUGUUUUACUCUUUAACCUAGUAAUAAAUCCCUUUAAAGGCCCGUGGUAUUCG
rnacentral:lncRNA from 1 species